UAUGCAUAAUCAAUUGGAGGUUCUAACUUCUAACUUCACAUAAUGUAGCCAAAACCAUGAGGCAAUCACUUCAUUGAGUUCUGCAACCUUCACAUAAUGCAGUUCUCUGUCGCGGCUAGAUGGCUGGAUGCAGUUUUUCAUUUGAAAGCCUUGAUGGACUUUUGGAGCUGAAGCUUUCAUGUUUGUUUUUGCCUAGAUACAUUCUU